GAUGAACGCUAGCGGCAGGCUUAAUACAUGCAAGUCGAGGGGUCAGCAAUGACACCGGCGGACGGGUGCGUAACGCGUAUGCAACCUACCUACAUCAGGGGGAUAGCCCUAGGAAACUGGGAUUAACACCGCAUAAUAUUAUUAAUGGCAUCAUUGAUAAUUGAAAUAUUUAUAGGAAGUAGAUGGGCAUGCGUAAGAUUAGCUAGUUGGUAAGGUAACGGCUUACCAAGGCUACGAUCUUUAGGGGCUCUGAGAGGAGUAUCCCCCACACUGGCACUGAGAUACGGGCCAGACUCCUACGGGAGGCAGCAGUAGGGAAUAUUGGGCAAUGGAGGCAACUCUGACCCAGCCAUGCCGCGUGCAGGAAGACGGCCUCUGGGUUGUAAACUGCUUUUGAAUGGGAAGAAUGUGUGGCUUGCGAGCUAUAAUGACGGUACCAUUAGAAUAAGCCACGGCUAACUACGUGCCAGCAGCCGCGGUAAAA
rnacentral:rRNA from 1 species